rnacentral:misc_RNA from 1 species
UCCGGCUUGUCACCGGCAGUUAUUCUAAAGUGCUCAGCCAAACCUGUUAGCAACUAGAACCAAGGGUUGCGCUCGUUGCGGGACUUAACCCAACAUCUCACGACACGAGCUGACGACAGCCAUGCAGCACCUGUGUGAUCGCCACCCGAAGUGAAGACUCUCAUCUCUGAGAGUCAAACGAUCCAUGUCAAGGCCUGGUAAGGUUUUGCGCGUAGCUUCGAAUUAAACCACAUAAUCCACCGCUUGUGCGGGUCCCCGUCAAUUUCUUUGAGUUUUAAUCUUGCGACCGUACUCCCCAGGCGGGGUGCUUAAUGCGUUAGCUGCGACACCGAGAAUAAAUUCCCGACAUCUAGCACCCAUCGUUUACAGCGUGGACUAC